rnacentral:rRNA from 1 species
AAACUAACAAGGAUUCCCCUAGUAACGGCGAGUGAAGCGGGAAGAGCUCAAAUUUGAAAGCUGGCACCUUCGGUGUCCGCGUUGUAAUCUCGAGAAGUGUUUUCCGUGCUGGACCAUGUACAAGUUCCUUGGAAUAGGACGUCAUAGAGGGUGAAAAUCCCGUACUUGACAUGGACGCCCAGUGCUUUGUGAUACACUCUCCACGAGUCGAGUUGUUUGGGAAUGCAGCUCAAAAUGGGUGGUAAAUUCCAUCUAAAGCUAAAUAUUGGGGAGAGACCGAUAGCGAACAAGUACCGUGAGGGAAAGAUGAAAAGCACUUUGGAAAGAGAGUUAAACAGUACGUGAAAUUGUCGAAAGGGAAGCGCUUGAAGUUAGACAUGCUUGCCGGGAUUCAGCCUUGCUUUUGCUUGGUGCAUUUCCCGGUGUGCAGGCCAGCAUCAGUUUUGUUUGCCGGAUAAGGGUGAGAGGAAUGUGGCCCCUCGGGGUGUUAUAGCCUCUCACUGGAUACGGCGGAUGGGACUGAGGACCGCAGUGUGCCUUUAUGGCGGGCCUUCGGGCACCUUCACACUUAGGAUGCUGGCGUAAUGGCUUUAAGCGACC